AAUAUUGCACAAUGGAGGGAACUCUGAUGCAGCAACGCCGCGUGAGUGAAGAAGGUUUUCGGAUCGAAAAACUCUGUCAUUGGGGAAGAAUAAAUGACGGUACCCAAUGAGGAAGCUCCGCCUAACUACGUGCCAGCAGCCGCGGUAAUACGUAGGGGGCGAGCGUUGUCCGGAAUUACUGGGCGUAAAGGGUAAGUAGGCGGAUAUAUAAGUCAGGUGUGAAAUACCAGUGCUUAACACUGGAAUUGCAUUUGAAACUGUGUAGCUUGAGUGCAGGAGAGGAAAGUGGAAUUCCUAGUGUAGCGGUGAAAUGCGUAGAGAUAUGGAGGAACACCAGUGGCGAAGGCGACUCUCUGGUCUGCAACUGACGCUGAGGCGCGAAAGCGUGGGGAUCAAACA
rnacentral:rRNA from 1 species